rnacentral:rRNA from 1 species
UACCAUGGUGGUAACGGGUAACGGGGUGUUAGGGCACGACACCGGAGAGGGAGCCUGAGAAACGGCUACCAUAUCCAAGGAUGGCAGCAGGCGCGCAAAUUACCCAAUCCCGACACGGGGAGGUAGUGACAAUAAAUAACAAUACGGGGUUCUUUAGGAUCUCGUAAUUGGAAUGAGUACAAUUUAAAUCUCUUAACGAGGAACAAUUGGAGGGCAAGUCUGGUGCCAGCAGCCGCGGUAAUUCCAGCUCCAAUAGCGUAUAUUAAAGUUGUUGCAGUUAAAAAGCUCGUAGUUGAAUUUCGGGGUCAGUAGGUCGGUCGUGCCACUGGUAUGAACUGGUUUUACUGAUUCCUCCCUCUUGAAGAACUGUAAUGCCAUUAAUUUGGUGUUGCAGGGAAUCAGGACUGUUACUUUGAAAAAAUUAGAGUGUUUAAAGCAGGCUUUAGCUUGAAUACAUUAGCAUGGAAUAAUGAAAUAGGACGUUUGAUCCUAUUUUGUUGGUUUCUAGGAUUGACGUAAUGAUUAAUAGGGAUAGUUGGGGGCAUUAGUAUUCAAUUGUCAGAGGUGAAAUUCUUGGAUUUAUUGAAGACUAACUACUGCGAAAGCAUUUGCCAAGGAUGUUUUCAUUAAUCAAGAACGAAAGUUAGGGGAUCGAAGACGAUCAGAUACCGUCGUAGUCUUAACCAUAAACUAUGCCGACUAGGGAUCGGAUGAUGUUAAUUUUUUAAUGACUCAUUCGGCGCCUUACGGGAAACCAAAGUGUUU